AUUGAGAGUGGCGCACGGGUGCGUAACGCGUAUGCAACCUACCCUAUACAGGGGGAUAGCCCGGAGAAAUCUGGAUUAAUACCCCAUAGUACUAUGAUGAGGCAUUUUGUUAUAGUUAAAGAUUCAUCGGUAUAGGAUGGGCAUGCGUCUGAUUAGCUAGUUGGCGGUGUAACGGACCACCAAGGCGACGAUCAGUAGGGGUUCUGAGAGGAAGGUCCCCCACACUGGCACUGAGAUACGGGCCAGACUCCUACGGGAGGCAGCAGUAGGGAAUAUUGGGCAAUGGACGAGAGUCUGACCCAGCCAUGCCGCGUGCAGGAAGACGGCGUUCUGCGUUGUAAACUGCUUUUAUCUGGGAAGAAAAGGCCCAUGCGUGGGACAUUGCCGGUACCAGAUGAAUAAGCACCGGCUAACUCCGUGCCAGCAGCCGCGGUAAUACGGAGGGUGCAAGCGUUGUCCGGAUUUAUUGGGUUUAAAGGGUGCGUAGGCGGCUAUUUAAGUCAGUGGUGAAAGACUCCGGCUCAACCGGGGCAGUGCCAUUGAUACUGGAUAGCUUGAGUAUUGGAGGGGUACAUGGAAUUGAUGGUGUAGCGGUGAAAUGCAUAGAUACCAUCAGGAACACCGAUAGCGAAGGCAUUGUACUGGCCAAUAACUGACGCUGAUGCACGAAAGCAUGGGGAGCGAACAGGAUUAGAUACCCUGGUAGUCCAUGCCGUAAACGAUGAUUACUCGCUGUUAUGGCUUUAUGUUG
rnacentral:rRNA from 1 species